rnacentral:misc_RNA from 1 species
UUACUUGGGGCAGAAGUCGGCCACCAACUGGCAGAACACCCAGGUCAGGUUUACCGAUCACUACCUUCCUCUGACGCAGAGAUUGUUCUCGUAGUUGUUUAGCAACAUUGAGGAGUGUUGUGAAAGGUAAUCGGAAUGGCACCGGUUGGCGCACAGUAUGUUCCAGCUCACCGCAUGGCCUCGGGCUCUUCAAGCCGCAGGCCUGAACAUGCCCGCUGUUGGUGACACCACCCGGGUGUUUCCCUUGUGGAGCAAGUGGGUAGCCUGCUUGUGCUUUCCCCUCGGCCUGAUAGCCCUAUGCCUCAAUUACGAGGACCGUUGCUCAUUCUGUGACUACGUGUCGACCCAUUAAGGCUGAAAUGACCGUCCAGUAGCGUGCAACUGGACGGUUUCCCUGAAAGAUGCCUCUUGAAACGGCUCUUGUUGGACCGUCAGGGAUAAAAAAAAAAAGUGGAUAAAAUUUAGGUUUUAGGGCUUGCAUUUUUUAAAAGUGAAUGUCUUGACAUGUCAUAUUUUAUUCAACUAUAUAAUUUAAGUAUUUUUAUAACUUUUAAUUUUCUAGUUUAAGCUCUAAACGUAAUAAAUUUUAUCUAAA